AGCAAGGACUAAUCAAGUGUAAUAUGUAACAAGAUAACAUCAGUAUUCUCUAAACUGUAUAUGCAGGUAACGUGUUGACUCUUGGCCCGGUAAUAACUUAAUAAUGAGCCGAGAAUAAGGGUUAAAGUUCGGUAUCCAUAAUGGAGACUGAGAGGAAGAUAUUGUCGAAGUAUCCCCUCACUUGACUCAUCGGUAUGAUAUCUGACCAUAAUGAAAAAAAAAGACUUCGCACAUGCAGUCCAUGUUCUAGUUCUUGGUCUGCACUCUGCAAUCUACCAUGAGACUGUAGAAAUCCGAUGAUUGUUUCCUGGAUCUAACUUCAUAAAAGUAUUCCCAUUUGAACCUACAGCAGAACCUCAACAUCCAGCAUAACCUCAACCCUCGUCUGAACCUCCACCUCGAAAAGAACUCCUUCGAACUCCUUUUAGAACCCCUUCUGCUAAGAAGAGAAGAUACAAUAUAGACAAUCUUGACGGGUUGGCACCCUUGAUAGCUGUGCACAGGGUAAAUAACAAAGUAUGCGCUAGACUUACCUGUAAAUAUAACGAGUUUAUGGAGUUUGACAAGCAGUUUACAGUAAAGAAGGUGAGAGGAAUUGUGCAGCGAUCUAAAGAGAAUGCGUUAGAAUAGCCUUGGAAUCUGACAGUGGAGUCGCUCUACUUUGACAGGAAAAAGGAUAAAGGUACGUUAGCCUUGGAUCAACACAAGAUUAGACAGAAGGUUACUGAGGAACACACGACCCUUGUAGCGCAGCCAUCUGGUCGUUACCUUAAUGACUGCCUUCUUGGAGAAGAAUAUUGGACGGGAAUUGCAAAGAUGUAUUUGCUGCCUUCGCAGGGUAGAGCUGCCAUUCAGACACUUAUUCAUUGCAUUUGAUGGAGAGAAAUCCGGCCCCAACUCGUUUACCCACGAUAUCGGAAAUCUUCUCAGGACAACCGUUAAGUCAACGAGACAUUUAUGUCUUCUCUAGGGACAUACAUUCAAGCCCCUGGAUAGAAACACCGUGAAGAAGCUGGGUUGGGACCUAUGACUGUGUGUGUAAGGAGAUGCUCCUAAACUAAGGAAAUUAGUUAGUUAUAUUAUCAAUAUUUACUUACCGCUUCAUUUGAAUUUCAAGUAUAAAAGCUCAGUUAUUUAUGGUAUAGUUAGCUUGUUUGAGGAAGUAACAUUGGUCAGGAAACACGUUUCGGGUAAAGUUCACAGGGAAAUUUGUUUUAGGAAAUAAUUCUUACUUUGCACAUUCCCAUAACAUUCUAAUUGCCAUGUUACCUGACGAUUGUUCUGUUAUUAGAAAAGAGGCUAUAGAGAAGAUGUCUGAAGUUAAGAGUAUCAGAUGUUUUGUCCUUAAGCUAUGUUCUGCCUUGGUUGAAUGUUAGGGCCACUUAAAGUAUACAGAGUUGUGUUCUAUGAGUAAGCUAGAUGGUAGUUGGGUAUAUUUAAAUUGUUUUGGUAAGAACGUGUCGGUAAAAAAGGUCAAUUAUUAGCAGAAUUUUAGACUUAACUGAGAGAUAAAAGACUAACGUGGUAACUCUUACUUCGUUUUAAAGAUCUAGAUUUACAGUAUGCUAUAUAGAUAAAUAUCUACCACAUACCACACUUUAUUUUAUCACAAACGACUAGUAAUCUGAGUACCCGUCUAGAGAUUUGGCUGUUGAACCGGAAACAGUCUGAUAUCAGUAUAUUUUCCUGUUAGCAUGCCCUUUAAUAGUUGAUACCUGAUAUGGAACCAAAUAUUUACUUUAAAACUACUGCAAAAUUUAGUUCUUUGACAUUUGAAGCGCUGAGGCAUCCGUAUAUUUUCAUUAAUUUAUGAUGCAGAUGAAUUUUAGUUGUGUUAUCUAUCAUCUCCAGGAUACCAAUUGUACAAGUUUUAAUUAUAUGUGGUCCAUUCUGUAAAUAUUGUUGAUUGUGACUAAAAUUAUGGCUUUACUGAUUUAAUUUGGAAUAUGUUUUCUGAUUAAAAUACUAAUUUUGAUGUCCUGCACAGCAGAUCGAAGCAUUUUUAAUUUAUUUACUAUUUCUAUUA